CCACAGCUAUUGCCUUUAGCUGUGUGCAUGGAUUUACAUACUCGUCAUGGAGCUAUUCUCGCCUGUGCUGAGAUCACCUAUGCCCUGUACAAACUAGCAGCUGCGAAAAAUAGGCCAGUUACAGAUUAUUUGGAUCAAAAGUCAUUGGAGGGACUUAAACAGAUACACCAGCAGCUUUAUGAUCGCCAGCUGUACAG